rnacentral:lncRNA from 1 species
AGACGUGGGACCGAGACUCGAGUUUUGCUAAUUUCGUGAUUUUCGACAUUUUUCGAGUCUUUUUGAUUGGGUUAUAUUCCCUUAGCCUAUUGUAACGUAUUCAUUGUGGUUUUGACUAUAUUCUACGCACGAAGAGGUCAAUUCAAGAGGAAAUGGCAUUGCGGACUAGUCUACGACCGGUUAGAGGUGAGUAAUAGAUGUAAAUGCUGUUCUAAGGGUUUGAAACCCCGGACUUUCACAUCGUAACGCUAUAUUGAGGCGUGACACGCACUCCAUGGUGAGUGCGGGGUCGGAUACUAUUGGGGAUUGUGACUUGGUCCAUCCCGUGUGAUGUUUAUACUAUACUGGUGAUUGAUACACAUACUUUACUGGGCUUGAUGCCAUGUUUGAGGCCUUGUGCCGACUUGAAAAAUCCUUCGAGGAUUUACAUUACUGCUUAGCAUGACUUGCAUAUCAUUUAAUUUCAAUCCAAGGUUUUAAAUGCUGCCUUGCAAACUCAGCCAUAAUUCUAAGUGUUGAAAACUUAAAUGACAUUUUAAAUGUAUUUCGGGCUGGGAACUUCUACUUUGUAAAUGCCCAAGGGGCUUACUAUAUUAUUUUCUGGACGGAUUAUAAAGUGACUUGAAACAGUGGCAACAAUGACACCAUAUGUUAUACUUGAAACAGUGGUAACAAUGACACUGUAAUAUAUACUUGGAACAGUGGUAACAAUGACACUAUAAUAUAUACUUGGAACAGUGGUAACAAUGGCACUGUGUGAUAUAAAUUGGUCAGGUAACAAUGGCUGACCGGUCAGGUAACAAUGACUGACCAAGAUAUUGCGCUUGGGCUGUAGGAGCCCCUCCGGAGUCUGUACACACCCCCAGUGAGCUCCGUCGACGAUAAAUAAAUAUGGAUGGCUCGGGCUGCACGCCGCAGUGGGUACUGGAAUGUACCAUCAUAUGCAUUGCAUUGCAUUCAUGUAUUUGCCUUUAUACUGUUGUUUAGCUGUUCAGUUCUAUAUGUUGCUGUAUAUUUAUAUUUUAGCUUACUUUGUGUAUUUACUGGAUUUUCUUAUCUUCGGACUGUAGUUACUUUUACUACUCACUGGGUUGGAGUACUCACUUUACUACCUGCACCUUGUGUGCAGAUCCAGGGCAGUCUCAGACAUAGUAGAUCCAGUUGAUCAACGGAUUCCAGCAUUC